AUGCUUGCUUCAGCAGCAUAUAUACUAAAAUUGGAAAUGACAGAGAGAAGAUUAGCAUGGCCCCUGCGCAAGGGUGACAUGCAAAUUUGUGAAGUGUUCCAUGUUUAA